rnacentral:lncRNA from 10 species
CCUAGCUGAUGAAUAUAGACUCAUGAUUCUGUGUACCCAAUCUAUGCCAAAAAGCCUGCAUAGUUUGGGUUUCCCCCAGACACAGACUCUGAGACAAGGAUUCCAGUGGAAGUAAGUUUAUUUGGGAGGUGAUACCAGAUCUGAAGAAGUGAAAGUAGGAACAAAAGGAAGUUUAUAAAGCAUGUCCUAUCAAGUAACUUAUCCCUGUAAGCAACUGGGGUCAAUCCCACUGGAGACCUCUGGGUGGCAGCAUAGAACAUUCACUGCAGAGGGGUAAGGGAGCUGAGGUAUGUAUACACCCACUCCAGUUGGUUAUUGUUGAGGGUUGCUCCUGAGUGCAUUAAUUAUCCAAUACUCCUGUCCUGCUGUACAUGUGGAUGGAGUAAGCUUUAAUGUCCAGAGAAAGCCCUCAGACAAAUAGAUGCAAGCACCGAGUGUUGGAAAUCAGGCCAAUAUGCAGUGAAGUUGUCAGAGAAAGUGGAUGCGGGCAGGGGACUGACACCAUCUGCUGCAUGUGGUUUGUCCACUUCAUUUCUGACCAUUCUUUGUCACUCUCUUUCUUUACUUUUACUGUUCUGAUAUUGAAGUAGCUCACGGCUUCAACCUUGACUCUCUUCUCUCUAACUGAUUAGUACAAUCAUAUGGUUUUAAAUACCACUUCCUUACCAGUAUUCCCCAAAUCUACAUCUUAGAUCAGCCAACCACUCUGAGCUCCAGAUGCAUAAUCCAACAAUCAAUCAUCAACCAAUGUGAGGUGGAAUGUCAGAAAAAAUGUCAGAGUAAGGACCUCCAUAAAUUAUGUCCUCCAUAAAGAAUGAAAAAGCUAGAAAAAAUUGUUAGACUAAAUUUUUGGGAAUUCUAGAAAUUAACUAAAGUCUUGCAGCAACUCAGAGAAAAUGUAUUCAGAAAAUUACUGAAUAUCAGUGAGAACAGCAUACUCGGCAUUUUAACAUCUCUGGUCUUCUCCCCCACUCUCCAGCUCCGUGGUCGUCUUGAAAAAUACCAGCCCAAACUCUGGUGCAGCCUGGCAUCCACCAGAGAGAGCAAAACAGAACUAGAGCACUUUCAAGCCUCAUUCCCAAAGAAUUGUCAUUAUUUUUUAAAUUUUAUUUAUUUAUUUAUUUAUUUAUUGAGAUGGAGUCUCUCUCUCUCUGUCGCCCAGGCUGGAGUGCGGUGGUGCAAUCUCAGCUCACUGCAACCUCCGCCUCCCAGGUUCAAGCAAUUCUCCUGCCUCAGCCUCCCAAGUAGCUGGAAUUACAGGCAUGCACCACCACGCCUGGCUAAUUUUUGUAUUUUUAGUAGAGACAGCGUUUUACCAUGUUGGCCAAGCUGGUCUCAAACUCCCGACCUCAAAUGAUCUGCCCACCUCGGCCUCCCGAAGUGCUGGGAUUACAGGUGUGAGCCACCACACCCGGCCAAGAAUUGUCAUUAUUUACCAAGCUAAUGGUUCCCUGCAAGAUCCCACUGGCAAAGCUCUCUGUAUUUGACCUGGCUCUGAGAUAAACCAUGCAAAAAGCCUUCACUCUGGGGGUCCUUUGUUGACAACAGCUACAGGAAGGUAUUUUAGCUUCAUGGAUGCCUGAGGCAGUGAGUGACAGUUGAGACAAAUAGACUAAACCAAAAGCUAGGGAAGGAGCUGUCUAUAGAGGCUUUGAAAGGCUCAGAUAAGGCUGGGUGCAGUGGCUUAUGCCUGUAAUCCCGGCACAUUGGCAGGCCAAGGAGGGUGGAUCACGAGGUCAGUAGUUCAAGACCAGCCUGCCAACAUGGUGACCCUGUCUCUACUUAAAAAUACAAAAAUUAGGCCAGGCUCAGUGGCUCAUGCCUGUAAUCCCAGCACUUUGGGAGGCUAAGGCAGGCAGAUCACCUGAGGUCGGGAGUUCGAGACCAGGCUGACCAACAUGAAGAAACCCCAUCUCUACUAAAAAUACAAAAAUUAGCCAGGCGUAGUGGUGCAUGCCUGUAAUCCCAGCUACUCAGGAGGUUAAGGCAGGAGAAUUGCUUGAACCCAGGAAGCGGAGGUUGCAGUGAGCCAAGAUCACGCCAUUGCAUUCCAGCCUGGGCAACAAGAGUGAAACUCCAUCUCAAAAAAAAAAAAAAAAAAAAAGAGAAGAGGCCGGGCACAGUGGCUCACGCCUGUAAUCCCAGCACUUUGGGAGGCCAAGGCGGGCGGAUCACGAGGUCAGGAGAUCGAGACCAUCCUGGCUAACAUGGUGAAACCCCAUCUCUACUAAAAAUACAAAAAAUUAGCCAGGCGCGGUGGUGGACGCCUGUAGUCCCAGCCACUUGGGAGGCUGAGGCAGGAGAAUGGCAUGAACCCGGGAGGCAGAGUUUGCAGUGAGCCGAGAUCUCGCCACUCCACUCCAGCCUGGGAAAUAGAGCAAAACUCCGUCUCAAAAAAAAAAGAAGAAGAAAGAUUGGUAGAUGGAUGGAGAGAAAGAUAUAUAAAUGAUAGAUGAUAGAAAAAUAGAAAGAUUCAUAGAUAUAAAUAGACAACAGAGGACAGAGAAGCAUAAGAUAGAUAUAGACGGAUGAAAGAUAAACGAUAGAUGAUAGACAUAGAUAGAUAAUAAAUAAAUGAUUGACAUUCUAGACAGAUGAGGCAUGCGCAGAAUGUAGGCAAGGAAUGUUACUAUACCUUGGGGCUCACAAUGGUGGAGAGCCUUUAUCGCUUCUAUGCCAAAAGGGCCAAGCAGAGGAAACAAUAACCCAGACCCACAGAGGGUAGGUAGCUGGAGGGAGAGCACUGCAGGUACCCUGCAGGCAGGGAGCCAGGGAGACAAAUACAUUCCACCCUCUAAUCCCUCACCUGUGUCUCUCAUUGGCCAAACCCAAGUGGAAGCCAGAGAGUAAGGAAACCCAUUGAUGCCAUCUACCUGGGUCAUUCUCCCAGAGCACAGAGAAGAGUUGAGGAAGAUCAGUGCAGAUCUAAAAGAGACUGUUUCAUCUUCAAAGACUUAGCCU